rnacentral:misc_RNA from 1 species
GAUGAAGAACGUAGCGAAAUGCGAUAAGUAGUGUGAAUUGCAGAAUUCAGUGAAUCAUCGAAUCUUUGAACGCACAUUGCGCCCCUUGGUAUUCCAUGGGGCAUGCCUGUUCGAGCGUCAUUUGUACCUUCAAGCUCUGCUUGGUGUUGGGUGUUUGUCUCGCCUCUGCGUGUAGACUCGCCUCAAAACAAUUGGCAGCCGGCGUAUUGAUUUCGGAGCGCAGUACAUCUCGCGCUUUGCACUCAUGACGACGACGUCCAAAAGUACAUUUUUACACUCUUGACCUCGGAUCAGGUAGGGAUACCCGCUGAACUUAAGCAUAUCAAUAAGCGGAGGA